rnacentral:rRNA from 1 species
UACGGAGGGGGCGAGCGUUAUUCGGAAUUACUGGGCGUAAAGGGCUCGUAGGUGGCCAACUAAGUCAGACGUGAAAUCCCUCGGCUUAACCGGGGAACUGCGUCUGAUACUGGAUGGCUUGAGUUCGGGAGAGGGAUGCGGAAUUCCAGGUGUAGCGGUGAAAUGCGUAGAUAUCUGGAGGAACACCGGUGGCGAAGGCGGCAUCCUGGACCGACACUGACACUGAGGAGCGAAAGCCAGGGGAGCAAACGGG